UUCGUUUGUGUGACGUAGUCUUAUAGAUGAAUGGUGGUGGCGCGAUUUUCGUCGGUAUUCAAAUAUAUUUGUUUACAUUGCAAUACGAUAUUUUACUAACUUACGAUACUAAAAUAAAUACAUAUGUAUUGAACAUCCGCGAUUGGUGUGUUUCAUUCGCGAUUGGCGUUAGCAUUUUUCCGCCUGAAUUGAUAAUUAAAAAACUAAUCGAAAAAAUCAAGCACUAAAAAAAAACUUACAUCUAAAAAUUAAUUCUUGCUUUGGGCAAUGAGCGGCAAUCUUUCAUUCAUUCAAGUGAAAUAGGAAUAAAAAACCGGUCUACCGCGUCGAACAAACAUUGGCAAAGUUCAUUAGUUUUUGUGUGGUGUCUGAACCGACUACAAUUUGUGUUUUUUUUGUAUUUGUUCUCGGCAUUGCGAAAGAGCGUAUAUCGCGUGGUUUGCGUGAUUCCGGAUAUUCUAUAAAAAAAAGGUUGUGCGAAUAGUGAUCACGAAUUAAAAAUAAUGCUUAAAAAAUUAAUAUGCUUUUAUUAAAAUCGAAUUAAAAAUACUAUUUGAACUUAAAUCGUAUAUUAUAGGGCUCAGAUUUUACAUCGAAUAUUAUACAUUUAGGAGGUAAAAUAAUAAGAAAACAAAUAGCAAGAUCAAAUGGUUGAAAAUUAAUUGCCGAAUUGGUAA